rnacentral:misc_RNA from 1 species
ACUUGUUAUUGUAGGACACAAACACUUGUUUUGUCGGUUGAAUUUUGCCAUCAUCCCAAUACUCAAACCCAGUACUAAUACAAUAGCUUUCGCCAUAAUUGGACUUGAAUUGGCAUUCCAGUGUCGUCCAUAUAAAAUCUGAGGUAUGGUUCAAUUUAAAAAUAGCACUCAGUGUGAAACCCAAGAAAUUGUGAUACCAAUUUGAAGAUAGAGGAACAGUACUUGAAUCUCCUAUGCUUUGAUAUUGGAUCCACUUUGGGAUUUUAUUUCCAGGAAGGAUGACGGUCAAUUGCUUUCCAAAAAGUCCGCAAUUGGUAUAAAAUUCCUAACGCCAUGCAUAUAAUUCAAUAUUAGCGAUGGUGCUGCAGAGAGAGCCAAAGAGAGAGAGAGAGAGUAUAUAUAUUUACAUACUUGACGUUGUUUGAUUGUUGCAUGUGCUAGAAGUAAUAUUCUGUGUCGCAUAUGUCUUAGAAUGUUUCUACGUUCAUAUUGAUUCAAACUUGCGCAAUUCGCAAAAACAAAAUAUCCCCAACCUUGUGUGAGUGCCAUUAUUGAGUUUGAAACUGCUUGCAGAGAUGUGCAAUGAGGUGAAUUUACAGCUACCAAAGACAGUGGAAGAUGUGGCAAAGAUAGAAGCCUUAAGCAGCAAACCAAGUGGAGUUCUUGAAGCCUUGAGAGAAGCUUAAUGCUUGAAGGUAUGCUCUCAAUCUCGCUUCCUUCUAGAGAUAAUAUGGUCAAUGAAACAAAGGAAGAAAGUGUAUUUAUAAGCACCGAUGGAUUGACGUAUGGCCCAGAUAUCAAAAGCUCGUCAAGACGUCCCAAUUGGAAAAGUGUAUUUGGGAGAAUCUUAAGGUUAAGGCAACCAGCCAAAGAAAGUUUCUCAAGACUAGAGAGCGACCGUAUUGAUGAGGGUAUUUCUUCUGUUGUUGUAUUUCUUAGUCCUAGUACUUUAUACUCUCUGGAAUUUCUGGAAACUUUUUUUUAUUUUUGUGCAAUGAGAGAGAUAAAGUAGUUCAAAAGAUGUCAAACCUUUGGU